rnacentral:lncRNA from 10 species
GGGAUUCCGUGCUGUGCGGGCCGGGCGCUGGCGUUGGAUUGAGUUCUGUGAGUUGACUGGGCAUUCUGCAUCACAAGGUGUGGCUGGGCACUGGAACAGCCGAAGUCACCUGGGAGCUGACUGGGUUGGACUGUCCAGGAUGGUUCACUCCUACGACAGUGGAUGCUCAACUGGGGCUGUCAACUGGAGCCCCCAUAGAUGGCCGUCUUCUCAUUGUAUCUUAACAUGGUGGAAGGAGAAUGAGAAAGCUCGCUUGUGUCUCUUUUUAUAAGGGCACUAAUCCAGACGCGGAGGGCUCACCUUUACAACAGCUAAACCUGAUCACCCCCCAGAGGCCCCAUCUCCAAAUACCAUCACAUUGGGGAUUGUGCUUUGACAUAUGAAUGUGGGAGGACACGAGCAUUCAGUCCAUAACAGGCACCAAGGCACCAAGUCAGUCUGCACAAGUGUGUCGCUGGGCAGAAGAACAAAAGAGAAGGAAGAAGAAAGAACACAGUACAGAAAGUGAGUGGCGGUACCACAAAGAGUCAUCAGCAAGUGCUGAUGGUGGCUCCGGCCAGCACAUUCCAAGCAUCCUUGGGUAGCCUGAUAAAUGGAGUGCAGAAUGUUCGGUAGCUCUGCAAGGAGUGGGAGUAUUUAUUGGGUCUGAGUGCUUGAUGCGAAACUUUCCUCCAAAGUUCCAAUUUUCUAUCCGCCAAGAUAAGUGAUGGAGGUUUAUGGUUCAUGUUGUAGCACAUCCACCCAGGCCAAGGACCUACAACUCUGAAUUUCUGGCCUGCCUCCUUCCAGCUAGAAGUGAAUCUAGAUUUACAUGCCAUCAGGAACAAGCAUCGUCUUCCUGUUCUGUGAGUUCCUAGUUGUAGUAGGUACUGCUUUCAUCCUGAGAAUAUCAAUCUACAUGCACAAGGUCCCUCUCUGUGGAGGAGUAGGUACUUAAACCCAAGAUAAGUGGAAACUUUAUAUCCAAGGAGACAGAAAAUAAAAUUUCAGUAUGUUUUAUAUUAAACAACUUAUUAUACUUCUAUCCUUUUAUGAACAUAAGGUCAUCAGUAGGCCAAAAGUCUGAAAACAGUCUCAGUUCCUCAAUGUGAAUGCAAACCAUUAGUGCAAAAAAAAAAAAAAAAUAGAUAAAAUUAAAAAAUGAAAGCACAGAUACUUUCUAGCCUUGCUGUCUUAUAGCCCCAUAUUCAUAGGACUGACCAUUCCCCAUCUAUACCCACACCUUUCCCAAAGGACACUAUCUGUGAAUGGUGGCCACGCGUUUGGAUGUUACAGA